rnacentral:rRNA from 1 species
AUUGAACGCUGGCGGCAGGCCUAACACAUGCAAGUCGAGCGGAUGAAGAGAGCUUGCUCUAUGAUUCAGCGGCGGACGGGUGAGUAAUGGCUAGGAAUCUGCCUGGUAGUGGGGGACAACGUUUCGAAAGGAACGCUAAUACCGCAUACGUCCUACGGGAGAAAGUGGGGGAUCUUCGGACCUCACGCUAUCAGAUGAGCCUAGGUACGAUUAGCUAGUUGGUGAGGUAAAGGCUCACCAAGGCGACGAUCGUUAACUGGUCUGAGAGGAUGAUCAGUCACACUGGAACUGAGACACGGUCCAGACUCCUACGGGAGGCAGCAGUGGGGAAUAUUGGACAAUGGGCGAAAGCCUGAUCCAGCCAUGCCGCGUGUGUGAAGAAGGUCUUCGGAUUGUAAAGCACUUUAAGUUGGGAGGAAGGGCAGUAAGUUAAUACCUUGCUGUUUUGACGUUACCGACAGAAUAAGCACCGGCUAACUUCGUGCCAGCCGCCGCCGUAAUAC